rnacentral:tRNA from 1 species
GCCCCCAUAGCUCAGAGGAUAGAGCGCCGGCCUCCGGAGCCGGGUGCGCUGGUUCGAGUCCAGCUGGGGGUA